rnacentral:rRNA from 1 species
UACGGAGGGAGCUAGCGUUAUUCGGAAUUACUGGGCGUAAAGCGCGCGUAGGCGGCUUGCUAAGUCAGACGUGAAAGCCCUGGGCUCAACCCGGGAAUUGCGUUUGAUACUGGCGAGCUUGAGAUUCAGAGAGGUGAGUGGAAUUCCUAGUGUAGAGGUGAAAUUCGUAGAUAUUAGGAAGAACACCAGUGGCGAAGGCGCUCACUGGCUGAACACUGACGCUAAAGCGCGAAAAGCGUGGGGAGCAAACAGGG